rfam:Gossypium arboreum cultivar AKA8401 contig_24170_5, whole genome shotgun sequence.
AACCCAUGGUGAGGGCACCUUCUCAAUAAGUCAUUGUAUCUCUCCCAUGCAUCAUAAAGAGUUUCUAGAUCCAUAUGCUAAAAAAAACAGAUAUCAUUCCUUAAUUU